rnacentral:tRNA from 1 species
GCCCUGGUGGUGGAAUGGUAUACACGGCAGGUUGAGGGCCUGUGCCCUUAGGGCGUGGAGGUUCGAGUCCUCUCCAGGGCA